UUUUGAUUGGCUUAUACGAGGGUGUUAAUUCACUCUAUCACAUGGCUGAGCGGGUGACAAUUUUUUUGAAUGUUACCCUCUCGUCAAGACCAAUCAGAAUUCGAUAAUUUAAAGGACAAUGAAUCGAAUUUACAUCAAGUAAUUAAAUGCAAUGCUUAAGUUCUACGUUUAUAUUCAGAUUUUGUUAUUUAACCUUUAAAAUAAAAAUAAUAAAACAUCUUGCUUGACUUUUGUUGUUUUUUCUAAUACCCAUUAUGUUGUUAUGAACGUGAUGUCAAAGAAAAUACUUUGAAAAUAAAAGUAAUCUGUAAAAGACAGUAAUGA
rnacentral:lncRNA from 1 species